CCUACGGGAGGCAGCAGUGAGGAAUUUUCCGCAAUGGGGGAAACCCUGACGGAGCGACGCCGCGUGUGGGAAGAAGGCCUUCGGGUCGUAAACCACUGUCGAAGGGGACGAUAUUGACGGUACCCUUGGAGGAAGCCCCGGCUAACUACGUGCCAGCAGCCGCGGUAAU
rnacentral:rRNA from 1 species